AUCCAGCUGACGAGUCCCAAAUAGGACGAAAAGCGUGUCCUUGAU
rnacentral:hammerhead_ribozyme from 1 species